CCUACGGGUGGCUGCAGUGAGGAAUCUUGGUCAAUGGACGAGAGUCUGAACCAGCCAAGUCGCGUGAAGGAUGACUGCCCUAUGGGUUGUAAACUUCUUUUAUAUGGGAAUAAAACAGGGUAUGCAUACCCUCUUGUAUGUACCAUAUGAAUAAGGAUCGGCUAACUCCGGGCCAGCAACCGCGGUAAUACGGAGGAUCCGAGCGUUACCCGGAUUUAUUGGGUUUAAAGGGAACGUAGGUGGAUUGUUAAGUCAGUUGUGAAAGUUUGCGGCUCAACCGUAAAAGUGCAGUUGAAACUGGCAGUCUUGAGUACAGUAGAGGGAGGCGGAAUUCGUGGUGUAGCGGUGAAAUGCUUAGAUAUCACGAAGAACUCCGAUUGCGAAGGCAGCUCACUGGUCUGCAACUGACACUGAUGCUCGAAAGUGUGGGUAUCAAACAGGAUUAGAUACCCGUGUAGUC
rnacentral:rRNA from 1 species